CUCUGCCUGGUCUACUAGAAGUGAAUUAACGUCUAAUCUCUCCAAAUGUCACUCACUGCAGAGUAAUACCAUUUGACUUGAAAUUCAGGUCCGUAGAGAGAACCUGCUUUUGGGGAGAAAAAAAACAUUUAUCUCUUAUCAGCCAUCCUCAUAGCCCCCCAGCUGGUGUGUAGGUCCUGUCUGUUUUCUGAGGGUGUCAGUACUAGGACUGGUGUGUAGGUCCUGUCUGUUUUCUGAGGGUGUCAGUACUAGGGCUGGUGUGUAGGUCCUGUCUGUUUUCUGAGGGUGCCUGUACUAGGGCUGGUAUAGGUCCUGUCUGUUUUCUGAGGGUGUCUGUACUAGGGCUGGUGUGUAGGUCCUGUCUGUUUUCUGAGGGUGUCAGUACUAGGACUGGUGUGUAGGUCCUGUCUGUUUUCUGAGGGUGCCUGUACUAGGGCUGGUGUGUAGGUCCUGUCUGUUUUCUGAGGGUGUCAGUACUAGGACUGGUGUGUAGGCCCUGUCUGUUUUCUGAGGGUGUCAGUACUAGGGCUGGUGUGUAGGUCCUGUCUGUUUUCUGAGGGUGUCAGUACUAGGGCUGGUGUGUAGGUCCUGUCUGUUUUCUGAGGGUGUCAGUACUAGGGCUGGUGUGUAGGUCCCGUCUGUUUUCUGAGGGUGUCAGUACUAGGACUGGUGUGUAGGUCCUGUCUGUUUUCUGAGGGUGUCAGUACUAGGGCUGGUGUGUAGGUCCUGUCUGUUUUCUGAGGGUGUCUGUACUAGGGCUGGUGUGUAGGUCCUGUCUGUUUUCUGAGGGUGUCAGUACUAGGACUGGUGUGUAGGCCCUGUCUGUUUUCUGAGGGUGUCAGUACUAGGGCUGGUGUGUAGGUCCUGUCUGUUUUCUGAGGGUGUCUGUACUAGGGCUGGUGUGUAGGUCCUGUCUGUUUUCUGAGGGUGUCAGUACUAGGACUGGUGUGUAGGUCCUGUCUGUUUUCUGAGGGUGCCUGUACUAGGGCUGGUGUGUAGGCCCUGUCUGUUUUCUGAGGGUGUCUGUACUAGGGCUGGUGUGUAGGUCCUGUCUGUUUUCUGAGGGUGUCAGUACUAGGGCUGGUGUGUAGGUCCUGUCUGUUUUCUGAGGGUGUCAGUACUAGGACUGGUGUGUAGGUCCUGUCUGUUUUCUGAGGGUGUCAGUACUAGGGCUGGUGUGUAGGUCCUGUCUGUUUUCUGAGGGUGUCAGUACUAGGACUGGUGUGUAGGUCCUGUCUGUUUUCUGAGGGUGUCUGUACUAGGGCUGGUAUAGGUCCUGUCUGUUUUCUGAGGGUGCCUGUACUAGGGCUGGUGUGUAGGUCCUGUCUGUUUUCUGAGGGUGUCUGUACUAGGGCUGGUAUAGGUCCUGUCUGUUUUCUGAGGGUGUCUGUACUAGGGCUGGUGUGUAGGUCCUGUCUGUUUUCUGAGGGUGUCAGUACUAGGACUGGUGUGUAGGUCCUGUCUGUUUUCUGAGGGUGUCUGUACUAGGGCUGGUAUAGGUCCUGUCUGUUUUCUGAGGGUGCCUGUACUAGGGCUGGUGUGUAGGUCCUGUCUGUUUUCUGAGGGUGUCUGUACUAGGGCUGGUAUAGGUCCUGUCUGUUUUCUGAGGGUGCCUGUACUAGGGCUGGUGUGUAGGUCCUGUCUGUUUUCUGAGGGUGUCAGUACUAGGGCUGGUAUAGGUCCUGUCUGUUUUCUGAGGGUGUCUGUACUAGGGCUGGUGUGUAGGUCCUGUCUGUUUUCUGAGG